UGAUAAUUGAAAGCUUGAGACGCUCUCGUAAAACUCUCAGACGAUUUAGAUCGGUCAUUUUUAGUUAUACGUGUUUUGAUUGGCUCGCGCUGUAUUGUGGUCCAAUGAAUAUCACGCUAUCGGAAACAAAAAUUCUACAUGUAGACGAUAUUUUUAGAAGGGAAUUCCUACCGGAAGUAUUCUCCGGUUCCGUUUUACAUACAUUGACAUAGAGCGGAACGGGGAACCACGCACGUGUUGCGAGAGAACACUUCCGAUUUAGGAAUUUCUACAUGUAGAAUUUAUCUUAGAAUACAGGCACAUAGGACUUAGUGUCACUCGUGGAGGAUAAAACCAUUUAAAAAUGGGCCAUGGAUACUAUUAGACGACACUUUGAAUGACAUCUACAAAAUGCCAAUUCAACAAAAAGCUUGGCUAUUGUCUUUGAUAUGUUGUCAUACAUGUAUCUGAUAGAAAAUAAACAGUAUUUGAUUGACAAGGGUGUCAUUUUACAAAUAGAAGUGUUUGCACUUUUUAUGUGAACCAGUGUAUCAAAAGUGCAAUUCAAAAUUAUAGAUUUUGUUAAAUUGUACAAUAGUGUCAAAAUAUAAACUUUGUUAUACUGUAAGAGCUUCAAGAUGUCAGCUCUACAAUUGUUAAUUCAAUGAAAUGUGCAGUAUUUAAUGCACGAAUAUCAAAUAGUGAAAAACAAGUCUAGAUUUUUAAAUAAAACUUUGAAAGCCA